rnacentral:rRNA from 1 species
GACGAACGCUGGCGGCGCGCCUAACACAUGCAAGUCGAACGGAGUCAAGAGGAGCUUGCUUUUCUUGACUUAGUGGCGAACGGGUGAGUAACGCGUGAGUAACCUGCCCUGGAGUGGGGGACAACAGUUGGAAACGACUGCUAAUACCGCAUAAGCCCACGGAUUCGCAUGAAUCUGCGGGAAAAGGAUUUAUUCGCUUCAGGAUGGACUCGCGUCCAAUUAGCUAGUUGGUGAGGUAACGGCCCACCAAGGCGACGAUUGGUAGCCGGACUGAGAGGUUGAACGGCCACAUUGGGACUGAGACACGGCCCAGACUCCUACGGGAGGCAGCAGUGGGGGAUAUUGCACAAUGGGGGAAACCCUGAUGCAGCGACGCCGCGUGGAGGAAGAAGGUUUUCGGAUUGUAAACUCCUGUCGUUAGGGACGAUAAUGACGGUACCUAACAAGAAAGCACCGGCUAACUACGUGCCAGCAGCCGCGGUAAAACGUAGGGUGCAAGCGUUGUCCGGAAUUACUGGGUGUAAAGGGAGCGCAGGCGGACCGGCAAGUUGGAAGUGAAAACUAUGGGCUCAACCCAUAAAUUGCUUUCAAAACUGCUGGCCUUGAGUAGUGCAGAGGUAGGUGGAAUUCCCGGUGUAGCGGUGGAAUGCGUAGAUAUCGGGAGGAACACCAGUGGCGAAGGCGACCUACUGGGCACCAACUGACGCUGAGGCUCGAAAGCAUGGGUAGCAAACAGGAUUAGAUACCCUGGUAGUCCAUGCCGUAAACGAUGAUUACUAGGUGUUGGAGGAUUGACCCUUCAGUGCCGCAGUUAACACAAUAAGUAAUCCACCUGGGGAGUACGACCGCAAGGUUGAAACUCAAAGGAAUUGACGGGGGCCCGCACAAGCAGUGGAGUAUGUGGUUUAAUUCGAAGCAACGCGAAGAACCUUACCAGGUCUUGACAUCCGAUGCAUAGUGCAGAGAUGCAUGAAGUCCUUCGGGACAUCGAGACAGGUGGUGCAUGGUUGUCGUCAGCUCGUGUCGUGAGAUGUUGGGUUAAGUCCCGCAACGAGCGCAACCCUUAUUGCCAGUUACUACGCAAGAGGACUCUGGCGAGACUGCCGUUGACAAAACGGAGGAAGGUGGGGAUGACGUCAAAUCAUCAUGCCCUUUAUGACCUGGGCUACACACGUACUACAAUGGCGUUUAACAAAGAGAAGCAAGACCGCGAGGUGGAGCAAAACUCAAAAACAACGUCUCAGUUCAGAUUGCAGGCUGCAACUCGCCUGCAUGAAGUCGGAAUUGCUAGUAAUCGCGGAUCAGCAUGCCGCGGUGAAUACGUUCCCGGGCCU